AAGCUAGAAACUCCAAAGUGCUAUGGUUUCGACCCAUAAAUAGGUAUACCUCAUACCCUUGCUUU
rnacentral:tRNA from 1 species